UACGUAGGCAGCAAGCGUUGUUCGGAAUUACUGGGCGUAAAGAGUGUGUAGGCGGUGCUCCAAGUCUGGUGUGAAAUCUCCCGGCUUAACUGGGAGGGUGCAGCGGAAACUAGAGUGCUAGAGGGUGGGAGAGGUAAGCGGAAUUCCUGGUGUAGCGGUGAAAUGCGUAGAUAUCAGGAGGAACACCUGUGGUGUAGACAGCUUACUGGACCACUUCUGACGCUGAGACACGAAAGCGUGGGUAGCAAACAGG
rnacentral:rRNA from 1 species